GUCCCUUUAGAGAAAUGGUUAACUCGCCAGACUCCUAAUCUGGAGAUUCCCGGUUCGAGUCCGGGAAGGGAUG